GCCCACAUGUAAAAAUAAUGAACAAAAAAAACCCAAAUAAAGAGUCCAUUUUCUUUUACAAGUCCAAUGUCAUUAACCAACCCAAAACCCAGGCCCGAUUUUAGCAUGGUCCAAAGCAAACAUGCAGAAGUAGCAAUCCUAGCCGCAACGCCUCCAGCGGACUCCAUGCGACGUACGUCUCGGAGCCGAUCCUCCCUACGCGCACACGUACACCUGCAAACACGGACUCAAAAGAGUCCAAAAGAAAAGAAACAGUGAAAAACAACACUUGUAUUUAAUUUUUCGGGCUAUAUAAGGCCGACUUUUAUUCUGUAAAAGGGGGAAUUCAGUGUAAAAAAACAAAAAAAUAGAGGGAAAUACAGAUAAAAUUUGCUUUUUUUGAAGGUUUUUACUUUGGUAGUGUUCGUCGUUUCUUUUUGUUUAUAUUUCUUUUUAUUUUCAUUUUGUUUUACCUAAAAUAACAAAGAAAAGAAAGAAAAAACUUACCUGGACGCCAGAGUCAUCGGGACCGGUGUCUUCUCCGUCGAAGUCAGAGCAUGGGCAUUAGGCUUGAUCGGCG
rnacentral:lncRNA from 1 species